UGGACAGAUUAUUAUAUUCGACUGUAUUCACGGCGUGAAAUAUGGGAUUACACUGUUUUUAAACGGAAAGUGAAUCAAUUAACAUAAUAGACUCCU
rnacentral:pre_miRNA from 1 species